rnacentral:rRNA from 1 species
GAUGAACGCUGGCGGCGUGCCUAAUACAUGCAAGUCGAGCGAACAGACGAGGAGCUUGCUCCUCUGACGUUAGCGGCGGACGGGUGAGUAACACGUGGAUAACCUACCUAUAAGACUGGGAUAACUUCGGGAAACCGGAGCUAAUACCGGAUAAUAUAUUGAACCGCAUGGUUCAAUAGUGAAAGACGGUUUUGCUGUCACUUAUAGAUGGAUACCGGCCGCAUUAGCUAGUUGGUAAGGUAACGGCUUACCAAGGCAACGAUGCGUAGCCGACCGGAGAGGGGGAUCGGCCGCACUGGAACUGAGACACGGUCCAGACUCCUACGGGAGGCAGCAGUAGGGAAUCUUCCGCAAUGGGGGGAAGCCUGACGGAGCAACGCCGCGUGAGUUAUGAAGGUCUUCGGAUCGGAAAACUCUGUUAUUAGGGAAAAACAAAUGUGUAAGUAAAUAUGCCCGUCUUGACGGUACCUAAUCAGAAAGCCACGGCUAACUACGUG